GGUUCAGUGGUCUAGUGGUUAUGAUUUGUGUCUCACAUGAAGUGACCACACAAGGUCCCCGGUUCGACCCCGGGCUGAACCA